rnacentral:rRNA from 1 species
GACGAGGGGGCCUAGCGUUGUUCGGAAUCAUUGGGCGUAAAGCGUGUGUAGGCGGCCAUUCAAGUCGGUUGUGAAAGCCCCGGGCUCAACCCGGGAAGUGCUUCCGAUACUGUUUGGCUUGAGUACCGGAGAGGGUAGUGGAAUUCCUGGUGUAGUGGUGAAAUACGUAGAUAUCAGGAGGAACACCGGUGGCGAAGGCGGCUACCUGGCCGUGUACUGACGCUGAGACACGAAAGCGUGGGGAGCAAACAGG